GCCUACGGGGGGCAGCAGUGGGGGAUAUUGCACAAUGGGGGGAACCCUGAUGCAGCGACGCCGCGUGAGCGAAGAAGUACCUCGGUAUGUAAAGCUCUAUCAGCAGGGAAGAAAAUGACGGUACCUGACUAAGAAGCCCCGGCUAAAUACGUGCCAGCAGCCGCGGUAAUACGUAGGGGGCAAGCGUUAUCCGGAUUUACUGGGUGUAAAGGGAGCGUAGACGGCGUGCCAAGUCUGAUGUGAAAGGCCGGGGCUCAACCCCGGGACUGCAUUGGAAACUGGAAUGCUGGAGUGCCGGAGGGGCG
rnacentral:rRNA from 1 species